rnacentral:rRNA from 1 species
UACGGGGGGAGCAAGCGUGGUUCGGAUUUACUGGGCGUAAAGGGCGCGUAGGCGGCCAGCACAAGUCAGUUGUGAAAUCUCCGAGCUUAACUCGGAAAGGUCAACUGAUACUGUGCGGCUAGAGUGCGGAAGGGGCAACUGGAAUUCUUGGUGUAGCGGUGAAAUGCGUAGAUAUCAAGAGGAACACCUGCGGCGAAGGCGGGUUGCUGGGCCGACACUGACGCUGAAGCGCGAAAGCCAGGGGAGCGAACGGG